GUCCUACGGGGGGCUGCAGUGGGGAAUAUUGCACAAUGGGCGAAAGCCUGAUGCAGCGACGCCGCGUGAGGGAUGACGGCCUUCGGGUUGUAAACCUCUUUCACCAGGGACGAAGCGGAAGUGACGGUACCUGGAGAAGAAGCACCGGCUAACUACGUGCCAGCAGCCGCGGUAAUACGUAGGGUGCGAGCGUUGUCCGGAAUUAUUGGGCGUAAAGAGCUUGUAGGCGGUUUGUCGCGUCUGCUGUGAAAGACCGGGGCGUAACGCCGGUUCUGCAGUGGGUACGGGCAGGCUAGAGUAUGGUAGGGGAGACUGGAAUUCCUGGUGUAGCGGUGAAAUGCGCAGAUAUCAGGAGGAACACCGAUGGCGAAGGCAGGUCUCUGGGCCAUUACUGACGCUGAGAAGCGAAAGCAUGGGGAGCAAACAGGAUUAGAUACCCGGGUAGUC
rnacentral:rRNA from 1 species